UACGAAGGGGGCUAGCGUUGCUCGGAAUCACUGGGCGUAAAGCGCACGUAGGCGGAUCUUUAAGUCAGGGGUGAAAUCCUGGAGCUCAACUCCAGAACUGCCUUUGAUACUGAGGAUCUCGAGUCCGGGAGAGGUGAGUGGAACUGCGAGUGUAGAGGUGAAAUUCGUAGAUAUUCGCAAGAACACCAGUGGCGAAGGCGGCUCACUGGCCCGGUACUGACGCUGAGGUGCGAAAGCGUGGGGAGCAA
rnacentral:rRNA from 1 species